AGAAUGACUUUCCCAUUGUUCCUCAACUGUAGUGUAUGAUAUACCAUUUUAUAGCCCUGACUCUCUACUUUUAUCCAAUGUAAAAAACACUUUUUCAAAUUUUGCUACAUAAGACAAAAUUCAGCCGUUUGGUCACAUUUGAGGGUGAGGCAGAUAUAUAACAAUUUGCGGAAAAAAAUAUUAUUAUUUGUCCCUCUGAAAUGACACCAUCAAGUGAUAGAUUUUGAACAAAUGCAUGUCGGUCAUUGAACAACCCUAUCCCUUGAUUAUCUAGUGAAAAAAAAAAUAUUUUCUUUCAUAAUUUCUUUAAACAAUUAAUUUACAAACGUUUCAGAAAAUGGAUAUAUAGCAUUUAAGAAUGAAUCUCUUAUGUUUCCCCAUCUGAGCUCAGAGUAGAUGAGAGAUGUUAUGUUUGUCUCUGUUUUGUUGAAGCCCAAUCAAGCAGGAGAGACCAGCCUCCCCUGUACCCAGCUGUGUGUCCAUGAAGAGUGACUGGUCUAUGUUUGAACCUAUAUACUUUAGAGAGGGAGACUUUUCUACUGAACAAAGUCCAAUCAAGGAGGAGAAUCUAGCCUCCCCUGUACCCAGCUGUAUGUCCAUGAAGAGUGACAUGUCUAUGGAACGUCCGAUAGACUUUAGAGAGGGAGACUUUUCUACUGAACAAAGAAACCAACAGGAGAGAUCAGAGUCAGAGAUUCUCAGUGGUCAGUCUUCCCAGAG